rfam:Spiroplasma sabaudiense Ar-1343, complete genome.
UAAAAAGUAUAGUAAGGGCAUAUGGUGAAUGCCUUGGAAAAUGGAGCCGAAGAAGGACGUGACUACCUGCGAAAAGCAUCGGGGAGCUGGAAGUGAGCUUUGAUCCGGUGAUAUCCGAAUGGGGAAACCCAAUACGAUUCAUCUCGUAUUAUCCAUGACUGAAUUCAUAGGUCAUGAGAAGGGAACCUUGGGAACUGAAACAUCUUAGUACCAAGAGGAAAAGAAAUCGAAUGAGAUUCCGUCAGUAGCGGCGAGCGAAAGCGGAACAGGCCAAACCGGUCUACGGACCGGGGUUGUAGGACCUUAGUUAGAGUUACAAAAUUAAUGUAUAGCAGAAGCUGUUGGGAAGCAGCACCGCAGAGGGUGAUAGUCCCGUAUGCGAAAUACAUUAAUCUCGAAGAGGUAUCCUGAGUACGGCGGGGCACGUGAAACCCUGUCGGAAUCUACCCAGACCACUGGGUAAGCCUAAAUACUACCAUUUUACCGAUAGUGAACCAGUACCGUGAGGGAAAGGUGAAAAGUACCCCGAGAGGGGAGUGAAAUAGUUCCUGAAACCAUAUGCUUACAAGAAGUCAGAGCCCGUUAAUGGGUGAUGGCGUGCUUUUUGUAGAAAGAGCCGGCGAGUUACGAUAUCGUGCAAGGUUAAGCGGAAUCCGUGGAGCCGUAGUGAAAGCGAGCCUUAAUAGGGCGUUUAGUACGAUGUCGUAGACACGAAACCGGGUGAUCUAGCCAUGAGCAGGUUGAAGUUUGGGUAAAACCAAAUGGAGGACCGAACCAACGUUCGUUGAAAAGACCGUGGAUGACUUGUGGCUAGCGGUGAAAUUCCAAUCGAACCCGGAGAUAGCUAGUUCUCCCCGAUAUAGCUUUAAGGCUAGCGUCGAGGUUUAGGACAAUGGAGGUAGAGCACUGAAUGUAUGAUGGCCCCACCUAGGGGUACUGAAUGCAAUUAAACUCCGAAUGCCAUUGUUUCAUACUCGGCAGUCAGUACAUGGGUGAUAAGGUCCAUGCACGUGAGGGAAACAGCCCAGAUCAUCAGUUAAGGUCCCAAAAUGUAUACUAAGUGUGUAAGGAUGUGGAAUUGCACAGACAGCUAGGAUGUUGGCUCAGAAGCAGCCAUCAUUUAAAGAGUGCGUAACAGCUCACUAGUCGAGUGAUUCUGCGCCGAAAAUGUACCGGGGCUUAAGUAUACUACCGAAACUAUGGAUUGGCGCGUAAGCGUCAGUGGUAGGGGAGCGUUCUAAGGGCGAUGAAGUCAGACCGUGAGGACUGGUGGAGCGCUUAGAAGUGAUUAUGCCGGCAUGAGUAACGUUUGGGGGUGAGAAUCCCCCAUGCCGUUUGACCAAGGUUUCCUGGGCAAGGUUCGUCCACCCAGGGUUAGUCAGGACCUAAGGCGAGGCCGAAAGGCGUAGUCGAUGGACAACAGGUUGAUAUUCCUGUACUACUAUGUAGAGUGAUGGAGUGACGGAGAAGGAUAGUGGAAGCCAGCUGUUGGAUAUGCUGGUCUAAGCACAAAGGGGUGUACGUAGGCAAAUCCGCGUACUUUAACUCUGAAGUGUGAUGGGGAGUGAACGCUUCGGCUAGUAGCGAAGUCCAUGACUCCAUGCUUCCAAGAAAAGCUUCUAGCGCUAAUCUACAUGGUACCUGUACCUAGAACGAACACACGUGGUCAAGGAGAGAAUCCUAAGGCAAGCGAGAAAACUGUAGCUAAGGAACUCUGCAAAAUCACCCCGUAAGUUCGCGAGAAGGGGUGCUCACUUUAUGUGAGCCGCAGUGAAGAGGAAGGGGCAACUGUUUAGCAAAAACACAGCUCUCUGCAAAGUCGUAAGACGAAGUAUAGGGGGUGACGCCUGCCCAGUGCCGGAAGGUUAAGAGGAGUGGUUAGUUUCGACGAAGCCAUGAAUUGAAGCCCCGGUGAACGGCGGCCGUAACUAUAACGGUCCUAAGGUAGCGAAAUUCCUUGUCAGGUAAGUUCUGACCCGCACGAAAGGCGUAAUGAUCCCUUCGCUGUCUCGGCUACAGACUCGGUGAAAUUUUAGUACCAGUGAAGAUGCUGGUUACCCGCAACUAGACGGAAAGACCCCGUGGAGCUUUACUAUAACUUGAUAUUGAAUCUUGGUGUAACAUGUAGAGGAUAGGUGGGAGACUAUGAAGCAAUCACGCUAGUGGUUGUGGAGUCAUCCUUGGAAUACCACCCUUGUUACAUUGAGGUUCUAACCUCGGUCCGUUAUCCGGAUCAGGGACAGUGUCUGGUGGGUAGUUUGACUGGGGCGGUCGCCUCCUAAAAUGUAACGGAGGCGCUCAAAGGUAUUCUCAGUAUGGUUGGAAAUCAUACAUAGAGCGCAAAGGUAGAAGAAUGCUUAACUGCGAGACUUACAAGUCGAACAGAUGCGAAAGCAGGACUUAGUGAUCCGGCGGUCCCGUGUGGAAGGGCCGUCGCUCAACGGAUAAAAGUUACCCCGGGGAUAACAGGCUGAUCUCCCCCAAGAGUUCACAUCGACGGGGAGGUUUGGCACCUCGAUGUCGGCUCAUCGCAUCCUGGAGCUGAAGUCGGUUCCAAGGGUUGGGCUGUUCGCCCAUUAAAGCGGUACGCGAGCUGGGUUCAGAACGUCGUGAGACAGUUUGGUCCCUAUCUGUUGUGGGCGUAGGAAAAUUGAGAAGAGCUGACCCUAGUACGAGAGGACCGGGUUGGACGCAUCCCUGGUGCACCUGUUGUUCUGCCAAGAGCAUAGCAGGGUAGCUAUAUGCGGAACGGAUAAUCGCUGAAGGCAUCUAAGCGAGAAGCCUCCUUCAAGAUGAGUUUUCCCAUUGUUUAGCAAGUAAGAUCCCAUGUAGACCACAUGGUUGAUAGGCUGGGUGUGUACGCACGGUGACGUGUUUAGCUUACCAGUACUAAUAGAUCGAGAGUCUUUUUAGA